rnacentral:misc_RNA from 1 species
GUAGGUGAACCUGCGGAAGGAUCAUUAUCACGUAUCCAAACGUAUAAACCCAAUGUGCACCUAUAAAAUUCCUCCGCUGGAAAUGAAGUGGCAGAGAAGUUGAUAUUCUGAUUCAUGGUCUUUCAGAAUUCUCUGUCGUGAUCUAAACUUUAUUGUUUAGAUCAGCCUUCUACUCCGGGAGUCGUAUCAAACCAUGCUUGUUUUACUAAACAACUUGUACCUUUCUGAACUAACUUUGGUUGGAAAAAAA